rnacentral:lncRNA from 1 species
UGAUUGCUUCUGCCAGUUGCAUAGAUGCCUUCUAGCUUGGUAGCAAAAUCUGCUGUGGAAGUUUCCUAUCAAAACAGCUUUUACAUGUGUUUUAUCUUUUUUUUUUUUAAUGCAAUUUAAAGAUUAUUACUGAGCAAAAUAUCUAGGAAAUUACAUAACUGGAGGGGGGAGACCUUGACAAAUUCCAUAUGAAGGAAAAAUUGUGCUGAUAUUAUGUUGCUCUUAGCCACAAAAUUUUGAGCUUACUUUUAAAGCAAAGAAUUUUCUCCAGAGCACAUUUAUUUCCCUUCAGAAGUACAAAAUGAACAGAAUAGUCUCCUUGUGAUCACUGCAUUUCAAGUAGUUGCUGUGAUUUGGAGACUGAAAAAAUAAAAAUAAAAAACAUGAACUAUAGCUAGAAGUCUUUGAAAUUUGACAGAGAAAUAAUUAAGUGAUAAAGCAUGUCAGCAUGUGCCAAUAUUCACCCCAUGAGCCCAGCUACCACCUCUAUUUGCUUUUAUGGGGAAAAAGAUUUCAGUUUGCAAAAUAUCACAUGGUCAUAAUCAGAUGCCCUAAGUCAGAUUCCCUGCUGUUGAGAAACAGCUGGGUGCUAAGAGAAGCAAAGAAUGAGCAGUAACAGUUGUUUCAUUUUCACCCUAAAAAAAUGUAGAGAUUGUCAAAAUGUAGAGAUAGUCAAAAUGUUUCUAAUUUUGAAAAAUUUCCAUGAAGUACAAAGAUAUGCUUUGGAGAGAAUUAUUGUAAAAGCUCUUUUCAUUUUGUUUUGUUUGACUGGAUCUAGACUGCAGGCACUGAAUUAUGCCAUGGUUAUUCUUAUUUGAACAGGAAACUUUUUCCAGUGAACUGAUCCUGGAAGUCCUUUAUUUGUGGUGGUCACAAGGAGGAAAUAACCCCAGAAGAGGACAGACAUUAUCAGGAGCUCUAGCAACAAAAGCCAGAAGCAGUAGCUCUUUCAACAGCCUCUCCAACAGCCUCUUCCAACAACAUCAUCCCAUGUUACACUUUUAUGUCUGUCUUGCUGUCAUCAAGAUAUUCAUCCCACAGAAUGGGAUUUCUGUUAAUUCCAAUUAAUUUUAUAGAACAUCUCUAUUUGUCUCUAAGUCUAUGUUCUAUCUAGUUUUCAGGUCAAAACAUGAUUAAAUCUAGCAUAUUCUGCAGUUUCCUUAGCAGCUUUUUGACCACUCAAAUGUACCCAGAGAUAUUCUGGCAAAUAGACAGGGAACUCUUCUGUCAAGUGCUCACCUGUUUUCAAGACAUCUUGGAGAGCCCUUGAAUUAUUUUGUAAAACACAAGUAUGUCAGUAUUUGUAAUUUUCUCAAAUAUUUUUUAAAAAAAUAAAAAAUAAAAAGACAAAGGCUUUUGGGUGCCU